CCGCCUUAUAAUGGGUUUCUUUUCUUACAAGUAUAAUUUGACCUUCAUGCUUGUGAUUCUCGGUAAGACUUUGUUUAGAUGUAGUCAGUCCGGUUCCAGAUGGAAUUCUGUCAUCUCUACUCCUAUUAAGAUGAAACUGGAAUCGUCCACAACCCUUCAGCCCGCCUCUCCGUCCCACGUCCCUCGACUCCCAGACCUGCUGCCCUCGCCCGAAGGCGCAUCCUCUCCGUCUCCUCUCCUGCCUCCUCGGUCCUCGCCCCCGUUUGCCCUCGCCGCCGCUGCGGACGCGAGGAGCACGGACGCCCCAGUGCCCGCCUCCGACUCCCUACCCACGAACCCACACCCGCUCCCUUCGACGAUGACGAGCGACCUGGCCGCCGCCGCCGUCGGUUAGCACCUCCAGCGUCGCCGCCGCUGAGGGCACCAGACGCGGACGGGAACGACACCCUUCUCUCUGCUAUCGUCUCCUCCUGUGUCGGCGAGCCUUCCUCUCCGCUGCUACGGUGGCGUGUACUCCGGCAUGAGCCCGCCCUACUCGACGGCAGCAACACGAUCUACCAGGAGGUCUACAGAGAGGAGGAAUCUCAUAUACCAGGUGCUUAUCACACAUGAAUAUGUCACUAACAUGAGCGCGUAUCUCAAUUAUGUCUCUAACGGAAGAGGAGACUACACUUAAAUAUUUUUUUUCAGUUAUGAGAAGUAUAAUUGUUUAAUUAUCAGUUGGUGAACAAUUUUGCCAUCUACGUGCCAGUGUUGUCCAUAACAAAACAAUUUAAAAUUAUACACAUCUGUUCCACCUGAUGUGAUUUGCGCUAUCUUUAGUAGGAAAGUGUGGCUUGCCUCAUAAACAAAAGAGUUUUAUCUGUAACAAGAAGUGCCAGAAUAAAUAUAACCAUUCUUUAUGUGCUUGACAUUUCAGAUUAUGACCAACUACUUUUGAAUCUUCCAAACUAAUGCAGCAUAUUUCCUAUCCUUUUAAUAACUGUUGGAUAUAUAUAUUACCUCCAGAAAUUGUUGUCUUAUGAUGAAGACAGUAAAUUUUUUUGACUCAACCUAUUUUUAGCUACAAUCAGCAUUUUGCUGAACAACCGCUGCAUAUUCAUGUUAAGCCUCCAGAAACAGUUUCUUCUCACAAGUUCGAGUACUAUGAGGUUUGUUACUGGUCUGGCAGCCCCAUCACUUUGUUUCCAUUUUGUUUUGAGUAACAUACUUUUUUGGAUUAACUUUAGUGAUGAAUUAUAUGCUCCUUCAGGAGAACCUUAUGUAUAUGUAACACAUCUUGCGUUUAUCAGUCCUCACUAUUCUGAACUAAGUUACAUUUUGGUCCUGGUGUAGAACUUCUCGACGUACAACAACCGAAAUGAUGUUGAUAAUUUGGAGAGUUCAAGACAAUCAUAUGAGAUACAGCCCUAUGUGCACAUGCCUUAUAUCAACAUGAACCUUAUAGGCCUUCAUGGUGUCUGAAUUCAGGAUACUAUCAGCCCUGCACUGAAGUGAUAGCUCCUGAAUAUAACAAUGUAAGUUAGAAUGUUAGAUAGCUUCAUGGGGUUUCCCCUGAUAUGCAUAUUGUUUGAAUUUCAUGCCUAAUUUUAAUUUAGGGGGGGUGGGGGCGGGGGUUCAAUAGUUUGUGUGAUUCAUUUAUGCUAUCAUUUUAAACCGGGUGCUCUUGCUGCCAUUUCGAAAAACUAAGUCCAGCAGAGCCUUUCUACAGUUUUGAACAUGCCAUUUUGGUUUAACCCUGCUACCUCACCGAAGGCCACUAAAAUGGUGUUCAAAAGUUACGGUAAAAGAAAAUAGUCAUAAUGUUUGCCAUUGACCUCAGAUAUAUCAUCAACUGUUAGUGGCAAGUGAAUCCUUCUUUUCUUUGACAUUAUUCACUAAAAUCCAAUCGUCAUGCCUUUGUCCACCUCUCAGCUCAUGUAAUUUAAUGGCACAUUGUCUUUCUAUCUUAUCUGCGUUGUUACUGAUAAGUUUUUGAGCUUUCCCUGUUUUUGGAUGCUCACUGUUCACAUAAAUUGUUAAUUGUUGCAUGUGGUAUGUCUAUGGAAUCUAAUUAUUAUUUGAUCACUUUACUUACGUCAUACAACAGCAUCAUGAAUGCUAGGAUAUGUCAAGCUUAUUUAUGUCUCCAUUCUAUCCUCAACAAACACAAUCUUAUGGUAGUCUCACGGUGGUGAAAAUGUCUAAAUUGGAAGAGCAACUGGAACGUGCUUUCUGAAGAUAAUCACCAGAGAGCCAAAUUGGUAUGCACAACAAUGUGUGUGUGUGUGUGUGUGUGUGUGUGUGUGUGUGUUCUCGAUGGUUUGUUGCUAUAUGAAUCUGGAUCAGCAUACCCAUACCGUUUCCUGAAACCAGCCAAUUGAUUCAUGUGGGACUACUUGUGCGCCAUAAUAUCCUUUUCAUUUUUCCUUGUGAUUGAUGGGUGACCUUUUGGUGGAGUCGGCCAUUUUAUUUCUUGGAUCACUAAACUGAACAGAGAAAACUAUUUUCUGUUUUCAAAUGUUAUAGAUCGAAAUGUCAUAAUAUCCGGCAGAACCUUUUCGUUUUGCCAUCUAACCAGAUGGAAUCACAACUACCAAUACUGCUAACUUUGGAUGACGCAAGUCAACUCCAACCUAGCGCCAGUGUAGGUGUGUUCUGAUGGCUUUGCUGAAACCAGACAAUUAAGAAGAUUAUAGUGGCAUGAAUGAUGAGAGACUAGCCUGGAUAUAUUCGAUGAAGCAACAAUUUUUUUUUUCCUAAUACUGGUCUUGAAUCAUGACUUCCAUUUCUUUUGUUGGAGUUGCAUCUCUUUAAAGGGACUUAUUUUAAGGAAAUGUCUCGUCAACAUCAGGGUGGUAUUGUACUGGUCUCGAAUGCUAAGGGAUGGUACACUUCCAUAAAAAAAGCAUAUACCACAAGGAAUGAC